GACGAACGCUGGCGGCGUGCCUAAUACAUGCAAGUAGAACGCUGAAGGAAGGAGCUUGCUCUUUCCGGAUGAGUUGCGAACGGGUGAGUAACGCGUAGGUAACCUGCCUGGUAGCGGGGGAUAACUAUUGGAAACGAUAGCUAAUACCGCAUAAGCCCACGGCUCGGCAUCGAGCAGAGGGAAAAGGAGCGAUCCGCUUUGAGAUGGCCUCGCGUCCGAUUAGCUAGUUGGUGAGGUAACGGCCCACCAAGGCGACGAUCGGUAGCCGGACUGAGAGGUUGAACGGCCACAUUGGGACUGAGACACGGCCCAGACUCCUACGGGAGGCAGCAGUGGGGAAUAUUGCACAAUGGGGGAAACCCUGAUGCAGCGACGCCGCGUGGAGGAAGAAGGUCUUCGGAUUGUAAACUCCUGUUGUUGAGGAAGAUAAUGACGGUACUCAACAAGGAAGUGACGGCUAACUACGUG
rnacentral:rRNA from 1 species